UUGCCCCAUCUAUUAUAUGAGGACAAAAGUUAGAAAAAAUCUCACGGAACAGGGUAAACUUAUGGAAAGAUUCAGCCUACCCUGACAACCUACCGCUCUCGUCAAUGAUGGUGCAUACAGGCUCGUAGGGGGCUAGUCGCUAGGUGGCCCAGGUGCUGUGCUGAGCUGAGCUGCUGAUGGCCACAUUUAUCAUGGCGUCGUAGCGGCUAGUUAUAUCACGGCAGCCGAACGUGGCAGACCUUUAUUUUUGUAGGUGAAAUCCAAGGGAGGAACUGCAAAUGCUCGGCGCCAUCUUGUACGAACGAUGUGGUCUGGCGGACACCUUACCAAGGUUUUUAACUUGUGCAUCGUAACGAUUUUGAAUUGGGUAAGUUGCAAGUCGGUAGAUUUGCUCUGCAGUUUCCCGGAUACCAGCACCCUGCUUCGCGAGAACUACUCUACGUUGUUCUGGGGGGUCUUAGACGAACAUCUGAAUCCGAUUUUGAAGAAGUCUUGCAUCGAUGGACACUGACAAAAUAUAGGAAGCUGCACAUGAAUGUUGGGUAUUUUAUCAUAAGUAGAAUACAGAUAGAUUCUGUAGUAGUAGAUCUCUUUAGUUGGGUAUUGAAAUUGGCUUUGGUUUGUAUGGGGUCUGAUGAGGUCUCAGUUGCAUUUGAUCCUACUUGUUAUUUAUCACUGCCAAUGCCAGUCGAAAAGGAAGUACCAGUUGACCUGUAUCUGGCUAACGUGGACCUUUUAGCAGAAAUUUUUCUGCUUUCAAGGGAUUCAAAGAGUUUGUAGAAUAUUAUGUCUCUAGGAUUCCACAGUUUUAGGCAGAUUCUUAAUUAUAAAGGAUUGGGAAAGAAAAUUGACGGAGGCUCAGUGCCAAAAAAAUUAUGGUAGUUGGAAUGAUUACCGAAGCUCUUCGGAUUCGUUUAUUUCACUCGUUAUGGUAUUUAAAGAAAAUAAACGUGUACCUGUGCCCCUUUGUAUCUGUGACCCGAUUUCCUCUUCACUUGCGAUAAUUCUGCAGCGGGUCAUGCAGAUACUGUGAUCAGCAGAAAAAGUUGGAAGUGCGCUGCCCGGAAAGCAAAUCUGGGGUAAAAGAAAAAAACUUAUUCCAACUAGUAAGCCAUUCCCAAAUUCAACCAACAAAAAGGAAAAGGUGGAAGGAAAAACUUCGUUCUCUGGUAGUGUUUUAGUUAAAAUCCUUUUUGUGCAAAUUCAUUUUUGAAAUUGUUUACCUCAUUUUCGAAUGGUUCCGUUCACAUUUGUUGUUCAUGUGAGAUUUUAUGUUUACCAGUUACUGCAUUAUAUUGACCACUAUUGCAAGAUGUUUGUUUAGGAAUAACUACUGUUUUGUUUAUCUGGAAUGUUGUGUGGGAGUCCAUCAGGAAUUGCUGGUCUGCAGUAAAUUUGUCAGGCUAGGUGAUGAAGAUCAAUGAAUCAGAAAAUGUUUUGCAUGGGUGGUGAAUGUUCUGACAGUUUUAACAGUUGUGAUGUGGUGUAUUUCACUUCCACGCAUCAUGGUGUUUUUAUCUAUCAGUUGAAUUGUAUGGUUAAUUUUCUGUUCGUGUAACCUCAUUUCCUCUUGAAUCAUAUAGUAGAAAUUGGUGACCUGAAACAAUGAACAUGGAAAAAUCACCUGUGCCAACGUUGACGAUGUUUGAUUGAUGAAGUGCUGGAAACUAAAAUUAAUUUUCUUUACAAUUUGGUUUCAGGCUAUCUUUAUAAUUUUUUAUUAGUUUUGCGUUUGUUUAGAGUCCGCAAGCUCGUAGCUGAUUUCCUCCUUUAGAUACCGCCUGUCGACGGUUUGACAGCCUCACACAAUUGAACGUAUGCCAAAAAGCCAAAGUGAGCUCUUCCGAUCAGAAAAGUGACGGCGUAUCCAUUUAAUUGAAAAUAGGCACAAGAUAACGCACAAUUGGCGUUCUUGCCUCAAUGGAGAAAUUUUUCCGUGGAACUUAUGACCGAAAUACCAUUGCAGCUGUUCAAAAAAAAAGAAAGUGUAUUAUCAUGCAGAUGUUGACUAGCUAACAAUCCAGAGAUACGUCAACUUGCGAAAUUUCUAGAUGUGUGUGAAGCGCAAUCAGCAUCCUUGUUGAACUGUGAACCCAAAUCAUGUAUUUUCCUAGAAAUAUCUAGGUUUUUGGAUAAAUAAAUAAAAGUCAGUGAAAAAAUGUGA